rnacentral:rRNA from 2 species
GUGCGAGACCGAUAGCGAACAAGUACCGUGAGGGAAAGAUGAAAAGAACUUUGAAAAGAGAGUUAAAGAGUACCUGAAACUGCUGAAAGGGAAGCGAAUCGUAUCCAGUGUCUAUAAUCUGCGGCAUAUUGCAUUGGCGGCGGUGCGCGUGCUUUUGCGUCGGAAGCGGCUUUUGUUGCUCUGUGCUUUUGCUGUGCGUGGUGUUGCUGGUGCCCUGUGUUGCGGUGGGACGUCAGAGUCAGUUUGUAUGCUGCGGGAAAUGGCUGCCGAGGAGGUAGGUCGAGAUUUCGGUCUUGGCUGUUAUAUCUUGGUGGUUAGUUGUCGUGGUUGAGACUGAGGUGCCUACAAUGUGCUUUUGAGUGUACCGGGUUCUCAUUUGGUGGACUGUUUGGAUAGCUUGCUAUGCUUGUGGUUUUUUCAUCGGGUGAUUGAGUCUGGUGGUAACUUGUUGCUGUUCGGGACUUUG